rnacentral:rRNA from 1 species
GACGAACGCUGGCGGCGUGCCUAAUACAUGCAAGUCGAACGGAGCGGCGGUCGGGUGAGUAAUGCCUAGUAAUGUGCCUGGGAGUGGGGGCUAACGUCCGGAAACGGGCGCUGAUACCGCAUACUAUCGGCUUAGCCUAGGUAGGAUUAGCUAGUUGGUGGGGUAAAGGGCUACCAAGGCGACGAUCCGUAACUGGUCUGAGAGGAUGGUCAGGCACACUGGAAAUGAGACACGGUCCAGAGUCCUACGGGAGGCAGCAGUGGGGAAUGUGGGAAAAUGGGCGAAAGCAUGAUACAGCCAUGCCGCGUGUGGGAAGAAGGUCUUCGGAUUGUAAAGUACUUUAAGUGGGGAGGCGUUACCAACAGAAGAAGCACCGGCUAACUCCGUGACAGCAGCCGCGGUAAUUC